rnacentral:rRNA from 1 species
GACGUAGGGGGCCAGCGUUGUUCGGAAUUACUGGGUGUAAAGGGUUCGUAGGCGGUGCGGCAAGUUGGGAGUGAAAUCUCUGGGCUUAACCCAGAGGCUGCUUCCGAAACUGCUGUGCUUGAGUGUGGGAGAGGCGCGUGGAAUUGCAGGUGUAGCGGUGAAAUGCGCAGAUAUCGGGAAGAACACCCGUGGCGAAGGCGGCUCUCUGGGACGGUACUGACGCUGAGACGCGAAAGCGUGGGGAGCGAACAGG